rnacentral:rRNA from 1 species
CCUACGGGGUGCUGCAGUGGGGAAUAUUGGACAAUGGGCGAAAGCCUGAUCCAGCCAUGUCGCGUGUGUGAAGAAGGCCUUCGGGUUGUAAAGCACUUUCAGUGGGGAAGAAAGCCUUGGGGCUAAUACCCUCGAGGAAGGACAUCACCCACAGAAGAAGCACCGGCUAACUCCGUGCCAGCAGCCGCGGUAAUACGGAGGGUGCGAGCGUUAAUCGGAAUUACUGGGCGUAAAGCGCGCGUAGGCGGUCUGAUAAGCCGGUUGUGAAAGCCCCGGGCUCAACCUGGGAACGGCAUCCGGAACUGUCAGGCUAGAGUGCAGGAGAGGAAGGUAGAAUUCCCGGUGUAGCGGUGAAAUGCGUAGAGAUCGGGAGGAAUACCAGUGGCGAAGGCGGCCUUCUGGACUGACACUGACGCUGAGGUGCGAAAGCGUGGGUAGCAAACAGGAUUAGAUACCCUAGUAGUC